UCUCCCCCAUUGUGUUGUAGGCCGGAAGGUGCUUAUAAGGGCAUAUAUCUAGGGGGCGCUAUCACUUUAUCGUCAAUGGGGGAUCUUUAGGACACCCUCAGAUGGCGAGUACUAAGGUCAACUUCUCAAUUUGCUAUGUAGGCUAGUUUUAUUGGUCCCAGUGGUUAGACCUCACCACCAGUGGGACCUUUUUCGUACUGGGUGACCUGUCAGGAGUCUACCUCCAUAUGUGCUCAGGUAGCAGCAGCUGUGCGAGAACGGCCAGACAACAGGCCCUUGUUCUGGCCCAGCACAUUCUGUUUCGGCCACAUGUUUAUUUGCUGUGACCCAGUGUCAUCUCCUGACUUUCAACCAUUUCACAUCAAAUCUCCUGCAAAUUACCCACAAGGUCUGGAAGAAACUGCUGCUUUCACCUGAAAGGGCUCCCGUCCCAGCAUGCACCAUGCCUGAGAUCUCCG